GGACCGGCCCUGUUCGCGGGCCGGUCCCGACGAGACGCGCCGUACCGGGCCCGGAAAGACGACGCACC
rnacentral:ncRNA from 1 species